GAUGAACGCUGGCGGCGUGCCUAAUACAUGCAAGUCGAGCGAACAGACGAGGAGCUUGCUCCUCUGACGUUAGCGGCGGACGGGUGAGUAACACGUGGAUAACCUACCUAUAAGACUGGGAUAACUUCGGGAAACCGGAGCUAAUACCGGAUAAUAUGUUGAAUCGCAUGGUUCAACAGUGAAAGACGGUCUUGCUGUCACUUAUAGAUGGAUCCGCGCCGCAUUAGCUAGUUGGUAAGGUAACGGCUUACCAAGGCAACGAUGCGUAGCCGACCUGAGAGGGUGAUCGGACACACUGGAACUGAGACACGGUCCAGACUCCUACGGGAGGCAGCAGUAGGGAAUCUUCCGCAAUGGGCGAAAGCCUGACGGAGCAACGCCGCGUGAGUGAAGAAGGUCUUCGGAUCGUAAAACUCUGUUAUUAGGGAAGAACAAAUGUGUAAGUAACUAUGCGCGUCUUGACGGUACCUAAUCAGAAAGCCACGGCUAACUACGUG
rnacentral:rRNA from 1 species